rnacentral:lncRNA from 1 species
AUUUAUUAUUAAGUGCCAAUAUAUUAUUAGAGAAUCUAUUGCUCUAUAUUAGAGAAAGGGAGUGUGUUGGAUUUGUAGAUACCAAUUAAAGCACUUCUAUUGGGUCCACUAGAUUGCAACAAACUUUUUCAUUGGACUUGGUCCACCACGUCGGUCGUGGACCGACUAAUUGUUUGCCUUACAAGACUGCUGAUGUGCGGGCAGAUUCAUAUGGCAUUUGGAUUGUAUGCAUAAAUUACCCAACUAGAAGCGUCUGUAUUAUGUACACCAGUGCAUCAAACAAACGUAUAAGUGCAGCAUUCUGGAACAACUACGAUAAUACACUCUUAUUUUAAUUUUCACCAAUUUAAGAAGAUGAUCUAAGAACAAUUAAUGGUUACUGUACAGUACGGGACAAACAUGUGAAAGUUGUAUUAUUUUUUGUUGGACACAGUCAGACCACGUUUUUAGGAUGUAAUCAGUCUCUAUUACCGUAAGUUCUAAGAUCGUUGAAUCAGAUAAAACCAAGCGUUAAGAUUCACCAGCUACACAAAAGAAUCUUUGUAAUAUUUAGAUGGUGGACCAGGUCUAGGCAACAAUCUCUCAUAGUCAUUUUGUACCUUUCCUUUAUUGGGGAGGUUGCAACUGAGUGCUAAGGUACAAUUUUGUGUCCCACUAUGGUAUAAGCUAUAUUAGUUGGGAGAUUAUUAUGUAACUUUAAAAAUUCAUGAUACCAUUUGCCUAGUUAAUUUGGAGAGUUAAAUAAUAAUAAUAAUAAUAAAAAUAGUGUUAAGAAAUACAUAAAUGUCUCACAUGUAUUUGGUUGGUCAAAUAGUGUAUGAAAUAAAUUGUUCACAUGUGCACUAAAUAGGUGAAAUGAAGUGGAUUUAUAUUAUAUUCUUGUGUUUUCUAAUUUUUUGCAUUAAAGAAAUCUUAAAUAAUCCCUAACAAGUUUUUAAUAACAUAGGGACCUUUAGUUUAUUCCAUUAAUUUCCUUUUUACCAAUUGCUAGCUUUUUUAAUCCUUUCAUAUUUAUUCUCAACUUAUCAAACUUGUCAAAUAUAAUCUUUAAGUAUUAAAUUUGUAUUAAGGCUUAUUAAUAAAACAAAUUUUGACAUUUAGGAUUUCUAAGGGUCCUUCCUUUUUCUUAGGGAUGUCAAUGGAUAUGAAUACCCGAAAUUUUAUCAUAACCCGAACCCGAAUGAAACGGAUAUAUCCGGUGGAUAUGGAUAUGGAUUCGGAUACGGAUAUCAAAAAUAGAAAUCGGACGGAUAUGGAUUCGGAUAUGGAUUUUGAUUGGACCCAAUCCCUUGGUACUAUUGAGUUUUCGGCCGUUGGAUGAAAGGAUUUGCGGUUAGGAUGAUAGUGGUCCCCGGUUAAAUUGAUAGUGGUCCCCUAGGGUUGAGUGGGUGGUUGGUUUAAUAGUAUAAUCUAACGGGUGGAAAUGAUCAAAGGGUAGAUCUAACGGUAGAAAACUCAAUAGUACCAAGGGCUUGGUACUAUCAAUAGUAUAGUAGCUAGACUCUCUCUCUCUCUCUCUCUCUCUCUCUAUAUAUAUAUAUAUAUAUAUAUAUAUAUAUAAAUUUGAUGUUAUAUUUGAAUUUGUAUUUUAAAAAUUUAGAUUUAAUAUAAUAUAUUUUGAAAUAUUGAAAAGAGAAAUAAUUGUUUCGGGUUCAAAUUUUCGGGUUCUGGUUCGGGUUCGGGUUUCGGAUUUUUGGUCGAAUUCUGGUUUGGAUAUAAAUUUUUAAAAUCUGUCGGGUUCGAUUCAGGUUCAGUUUUGAAAAACUCCCUCCGAAUCCGACCCAUCGACAUGUCUACAAGCCGGGCCACUUUUUCCGGGUUCGGGUUUGGAUAUGAAUUUUUAAAAUCCGUCGGAUUUGGAUUUUGGAUAUGGUGUCGGGUUCAGGUUCGGAUUUUUAAAAAUUCACCCUAAAUCCGACCCGUUGACGUCUCUAUUUUAUCUCCCUUGCAUUAUAAACCCAUUACAAAAAUAAAUGUACUUUUUUUAGACUAUUUUUCGAGUGAAAAUUUUCUUAGCAAUGAGCGAUUUCGCUGUUCCUCUAAGGCAUGCCAAAUCAGUGAUAUUUAGUCGUCCAUUCAACAAUUCACAUUAGUCCUACUUCCAAUGGAUAGUGAAAUACUCGUGACCCCUCCCCAAUCGAGAAAAAUAAAAAUCUAGCACAUAGUGUUGUGAAAAAUCUAGCACAUACUCGUGCUUUGAUUUGAUUUUUUUUUUUUUUUUUUUCGCCUUUCGCCUUUCGCUAUCUCGGAGGCCUAAGCUGCUUCCAACUUGUACGCUCAGUUCAUUUUACCUAAUGAAUGAAGCAGAUAGCUUGCUACCUAUUUCUCAAAAAAAGAAAAAUUUGCGCCCACUAUUUACUAAACGGAAUAUGAAAAUAGAAAACAAAUAAUGCAGCAUAAAAAAAAAACAUACCUUCCUCGAUCUUAAGUACACAUGGCUUUAGCGAAACGAUUUCCACGCCGUCGUUUAACCGGUGCCCGCGAGCCUAAAUCGUAAAAAUUAAUCCCCACAAUUAGAAAAUUAAAAGCCCAAAAAACACAAAUCCAAAUCUAAAAAACCAAAUUUAUUUUCAUUUUUUCUCAUGAAAAAAAAAAGAAAAUUAAAAAAAGACCCAAAAAAAUUGUAAUUGAGAGUACCACAUGUGAGAGUGAGUAAUUGGUGAGGUGACAUGUUUCCACAUGAGAGCCCAAUAGCUUCUUCACAUCUAGUAUUUUAUCAGUGGAUAUUCCCUAAAUAACAAGAGAAUAAAUUAGAAUAAUUAAUUAGAAUAAAUAAAUAAAUAAAUAAACAAGAAAGCUGUUCUUGGCAACUUAUGAUUGUAAUUUAUCCAAGUUCCAUUGAAUAAUUUAAAAAAAAAAAACCAAUUCAUAUAAGUUUCCUUUCCCUUUUUUUCUUCUUUUUUUUUUUGGUAAAUUUUCAAUAAGGGAUGAGUUGAGAAAUACAUAUAUACCUUGAGUGUUACUUGGGAUUCAUAGGGAGUGACCACUGUGAUAUCAAUGACACUAGGAACAACUGUAAAGAGAACAAUGACAAAAAAAAAAGAAAAAAAAGAAAAAAAAAAAGGAAAAAGAGGAGAAUAAGUUUUGGGAAUAACAAUUAAUCAUCAUACACACAAAAAACACAUGACUCAACUAGAUUAGAAAAUCAAAGGAGGAAGCAAAAAAAAAAAAGUGAAUAAGAUUUUAAUACUAAUACAUAAAUACAUAUAUAUAUUUAUAUAUAUAUAUACACAUAGUUCAUGUGUGUGUAUAUAUAUGGGACAUGCUUAAUAAAUUUCAUACAUAAUAAACUAAAAGUGCAUGGCUAAUGAAUCACAAGUACGUUGAGCUCCUGUUCUUCAACUCUCUCUCUCUCUCUCUNGGGGAGGUGUUGUGGGCUUUAAACACACUUCAUGGAUUUCUAUUCAAUCCUAGCCUCUCAUUCUUGGUCUCUCCCUUCUCCCUCUUCUUCUUCUUUCUCUCUCCUCUCUCUCUCUCUCUCUCUUAAAUUUUUUCUUUUCUUUCUUAAGGGAGAGGGUGAGGGUUUGAGGGGCUUUAUAAAUUUGGGACAAAAAUAUAUUUUUUUUCUAACUUUCAAAAAUUUAUAUUUUUUUUCUUUAAAAUUUUAUGUUGAUAAAUUUAGGCCUCCUCGUUUUUUUAUAAUUUAUAUCAAAAAUACCCUUGAAACAGACAAAAAUAUAUUAAAGUUUCUUUUUUUUUUCUUGUAGAAUAAGUAAGGGCUAUUUGGAUGUUUCACCCUUUUCCAGUAAUACUGUAAUCUUUUGAAAAUAUUUCUGAAAAUUUAAAAGAACAAAAUAUAGAUUUUUAAAAGUCGGCAGAAAAAAGUGAAAAGGCUCUGUAUUUUAGCCCCAAAUUAUAUACAUAACUUUUUAUAAAAAUAGUAUAUAAGUGAUGUCUGAUAUCAUUUAUCUAACUAGUACUUUCUAUGUAGACUACCUGAAAUAAUUUUUUUAUGGUAAAUAUUUAUAGAACUUAACUGAAGUAUAUAGUAUUUUGAUUCAACUAUCUAAUUUUAUAAAAUUCUGAUUUUAGUAUCUAAUUUUUUAAUUUGUUUGAUUUAAUUCAUCUGAUGACUCUAUCUAUACAUAAUUCAAGCUAAUUGCUUACUUUAUUAAAUUUUAUACAGUAAAAUUAAAUGACACAUACAAAUUUUAAAAUUAAAUAAUAAUUAAUUGGCUCAAAUCAAAUAAAUUAAAAGAUUCAAUAGCAAGAUCAAAAUUUUAAACUUUUUUUACAUUUUUAACUUUUUUUCUGUAACGGCAAAAAAUAGAACAAAAAAGAUUAUUAUAAUAAUUUCACUAAAUAAAUUGGGCUUCAUCGAAAGGUAUUAUACACAGCUCCUUUUAUCUAAGGCUAAAUUACAGAAAAUUCCCCUGUAAUAAUCCGCUUUUUCACUUUUUCCCCUGACAUUUAAAAACCUACACUUUGCCCCCUUGUAAAAUGAAAAAUGUGUACUUCACCCCUACCGUUAGGGUUCCGUUAGGGGUUCUGUUAAACAAUAUUUUUUUAUACCGAAAAUACCCCUCUGCCUCUUCUCAGAUGCUUCGCUCCCUCCGGCUCGCCGCUUCGCCGCCUCGCCGCCUCGCCGUCCUCCACUGCUUCGUGCUCGCCCACAUCCCUUUCGUUCUCCUCCGCCACCUCGCUUUCGCCCUCGUUGUCCCUGCCUACCUCUCCAUCAACACCCAUUUUGGUAUCCUCCCUACUGUCGCCGAAAUCGAUGGGCGGCGACGGUGUAGGAGGAGAAGGGGAGCAGGUGGAGAAGAAAUUGGAGAGGAAUCGUGGCCGAUUGAGGUGGAAAUAGCGGCGGAUCGAAGGGGCGGCUGAGGAAGCUCAGGAAGAAGACAACAAUGGCGAGGGGCAAAAUGGUCAUUUUACACACCGUGACCCCCUGUGAAUAUUUUUUAUUUUACAAGAGGGCAAAGUGUAGGUUUUUAAAUGUCAGGGGAGGAAAGUGAAAAAGCGGGUUAUUAUAGGGGGGUUUUCUGUAAUUUAGCCUUUAUCUAAACAUAUUUUGUUUUUGUUCGAAAUUUAUUUUUAGAAAAUUUCGUGAUUAAAAUAUUAAUUCAACGGCUAAAAUUAAAAGUAUUAAAUAAUUAAAAAAAAAAAAAGCAUCAACAAUUUCCUUAUAAUAACUUCUAUAGGGAAGUCCGCAUAGAAAUUUUGUCGUGCACAGCAGGCGUGAGGACAACCGUUCGUAAACGAGAAAUUAUUGCCUGCUCCGGGUGUAUGCGGACGGUCCACACAUUGAGUUUUAAUUUUGGUGCAAUUGCUCGUAUAUCCCUGAAAAGUUUCAUAUUUUCUUAUUUACUCCCCUUAAAAUGCUAAUAUAAAAAAAAAAACUCUUCUAACGUUUCAAGUUUUUUCAAAUAUACCCCUCUAGAGUUAGAUUUUAGGAAUAACCGUAAUUUCUGUAAAAUUAUUGUUUUACCCUUUCAAAUAUACCCUUCUACCAUCACCAAUUUUUUUUUAUUUGUAUUUAAGUUAGGAUAUUUUAUCUUUUUAACUUUUCAAAUAUACCUUUUUGUAAUCACCAACUUUUUCUUAUUUGCUCUUAAGUUAGGAACAAAAGAGAUAUUUUGACUUCUUUUUAACUCUGAUAGAAAUUUUAACUCGAAUUUAACCCUAAAUGACUUAACGGAUACAAACAACAGAGUUAUUUUGAAUAACAGAGAAAUAUACGAGGAGUAUAUUUGAAAUUAAAAGAUAGGAAUAUAUAAGAUAUUUCAGAAGUUUUGAAAGGUGUAAGUAAUUAUCCCUUUAAUUUUUGUAGAGACUUAAAUAUAAUCGGCACUAUCUAAAAAGUCUACAUAAAAAUACUAUAAAAUUUAAAACUUUAUUAUCUAGGCAACUGAUUAAUUUGAAAAAAUAACUAUAGAAAAGAAUUAUCGUUUAUUUUGUGAGAAAUUAGCUUUUAAAAUUUAUGAUAAUUUAUCAUUAGGGGAGAGGCUUUUAUAAGUUAAAGUUAAUUAAACUUUUGGAUCUUAGUGUAUGAUUGUUUUUUAAAUUUAUAACUUUUCAUAUAUAAACUUAUUUUUAAUAAUUCAAGUUUCAUAUACAGAUAGGGAUCGACCCGAAACUAUAGUAAAUUAUUUAGCUGUACUAUAUAAUUUAUAUAUAAAAUAAAAUAGUAACGUAAUAGUAAAGAAGCUGGGUUAAAUACUAUAGUUUUAAAUUUUAAGAAAUUAAAGUGCAAAAGUAGAUUUUUUUUUUUUUAUGCGAGAGUUUUCUGUAUUUAAGCCUAAAAAUAUAUAUAGUCGAGGGACCUGUAUCAAAAUAGCACAUAGUUGAGGGGGGGCUCCACACAUGUUUACUCUAAAUAAUUGAUGCAUUUUGUAUCUUAGUUACUUAGUUUUCACACAAUACAUGGUUAAGGAGAAAGAAACAAAAAGAAAAAAAAAAAUUUCUCUUUUGAAUGAGUUGUUGUUGUUUGGAGGGCCCUGAUGCAUGCCACUUGUCCCCACCAUGUCAUCACAGCCGCACAGUAUGUUGUACUAAAAACUUUCUAAAAGAAAAGGCCAAAUUAUGAAGGAAAAAAAAUAUAUUAUAUAAUCACUUUAGCCCUUGUUUCAAUUAUUUUAUUACAUAAAAAAUUAUAUUUCUUUUCGCGUACGCUUUAUUAUUGUAUUAAAUAUAUGUUAAUUAAUUAUUUAAUAAUAGAACUGAUGUGGUAUAUCGAGCCAAUUUGGUGAAAAUUUACAUUUUGAUGCAACGAUUUUAUUUUUCCAAAUUUUGAGCGUAUUUAUUACUGCGAUGGAGCAUGUGAUAAAAUUUGAUAUAAUUGAAAGAAUGGUUAUAUGUUUUUAAAAAAUAAAAUAAAAUAUGCACAUGAUCAUCAAAUGAGAAGUUCAAAAUGUCGAAAAUAAAAUAUCGGCUCAACUCUCCUAUAUAUUUUUUUCGUACUUGAAAUGAACCUUAUUUCUCUCUUUAAUUCUUUACUUGAAUCGAACCAGGUCAACCUUUUUUUUUAGCUUGAACCGAAUCAGAUCACACCUCUACAUUAAGCCGAACUGUUCUUCUUCUUCUUCCUCCAGUUUUCUUCAUCGGCAAGAUAAAUCUCACCUUUUAUCGCCGUUUCUUUUAUUAUCGUUUUCUCUUUCUUUCUAGUCGUUUUUUUUUUUUUCUCUAAUUAUCUAUCCGUCGCAUCGCAUGGGUUACUAUACUAGUUCAUACGAAUUUUCUCUAGGGCUAAAUAUUUGUCAAUAUCAAAGUAAGAUUGGCACCCCCACAAACAAAGAAAAAAAGAGAAAGAAAAAAAGGAAGAGAAAUAUGAUUAGGAAACAACUGUAAUGUGUAAAAGGUUGGAGAUCAUGUGAAACUAUUCUCUUAACAAAGAAAAAAAAAAUUCAGAAUUUUGAUGUAGCCCAAAUUUUUGAAAAGUGCUUUUAGUGUGUGUAAUGUUCUCAGCCUUGUGUGUGAGUCCUUUGUACAACUUUUCUUUGAAGUGCUUUUACACCUUGUGUGUAAAUGCAUUGUUGUUCUUGAGCUUUGUGUAUCCAUUUUGUACUUAUUACAUCUUAAUAAAGAUAGUGAGAAACAAACACCUAUGUAUGCAUUCAUAAAUUGUGUGCUUUUAAUUAUUCAAAAUUGGAACUCUAAUUUGAAAUUUUUACUUCAACUAUCGUAAAAUCUAAGAAGUAAGAUGUUGUCGCCAGAAUUUUAGUCGAUUCAAACACAGAAUCCUAAAAUUACCCAAUUACAUGUUGGAUGUGGGUAACACAUGAGUAUCGUACUGAAUUUACGGGUUUAAGAUCAACUCUUGAUACAAUGAUAACGACAAAUUUGAUCUAGGAGAAGCUUCAAUUACCAUUCCUGUGGUUUCACAUUUUCUCACUUUAGUACCCUGUGGUUUAAAGUGUAUCACUUUCGUACCAUGUAGUUGUAUUUUUCUCUUUUUGUUAUCCUUCCACUAUUUUUUUUCGUUAAAUUAGUGACAAAGUUAAAAUUAAAGAAUAUUAAAAUGAAUAUUCGAUAAACUGUAGGUGGGGUAUCUGAAGUUUUGUAUAUAUGAUUUAAUGAAAAGUUAACAGAGGGGCUGACGAAAAAAGAAAAAUAAAACCACUAGGUAUUAAAUUGAUACACUUUAAACCACAAAGUACUAAAAUGAGAAAGUGCGAAACCAAGCGAUGGUAUUUAAAGUUUACCCUUUAAUCUAUUAACCCAGUAGCUAAAAAUGAAGUUGAUGAGUCCAAAUUGGACCUUAUGUGAUCCAAUAUUGCCACUAGUUUAUAAUUCCUAAUGGAAUUUUUUUUUUUUUAAAAAAAAGAGACUUAAGAAGUGCAAAUUUCCUUUUUCUUGUUUGUACAUUUGACUUGGCACUAAUUCCAUUCUUUCAUGAACUAAGCAAAGAAAAAAGAAGUGAGAACUAAAACUACUUCUUGAAUAAGCUCCCCACUAAGCNACAUGAAAUAAAUGUUUGCAAUAACUUGUUCUCAUUAAGUUACUAGUCAAUUUCCACACUUAAAUGUACAAUUCACUGUAAUCUUCCUUUUUCUACUAAUAAUUUGGGCCAUGCCUCCAUGUAGUCAGUAAAACAAAAUUGGAGUCAAUUUCCACAUUCAAUAAUUCUCUAAUUAAUGAAUGUGAAAUAACUGUUUUUCUUCAAAAUCUUAAAUCAUUCGAGCAUCGACUCAGAUACCAAAUUAAAUUAUAUAAAAUAGCUGUUUAUUUCAAAAAGUUUAAACUAUAUAAAAAAAAUAGUGUUAUUAAUAUUUUAUGUUCAACAACAAUAACUUAUAAUAUUAUCCUACGUAGUCAAUCAAACUACUAAUUAUUCGCUAAUUUUUGGGGCUAAGACACUAGAAUAAUAACUCCUCUUUGAAGGAAUAAAACUAAAUUAAGAGUCAAUAGUUUGUUGUUUAAGAUAGGAUAACCGGAUCAGGCACUGACCCGUCAUACAUCUCACACGCACCGAUUCUCGGUUUAAAUACAAAUUAAUAAUCGCGAAAGAAUAUGAUAGAAUUGUAGUUGAUGUUGAAGAUGGUAAAGGUCCAAUUAGUGCUUGAGCUUAGAGAUGUCAACAGGUCGGAUUCGGGGCGAAUUUUCAAAAAUCCGAACCCGAACUCAAACCCGGCGGAUUUUAAAAAUCUAUAUCCAAAUCUGAACCCAACCAAAAACCUGAAACCCGAACCCGAACCCGAACAUGAAAAUUUGAACUCGAAACAAUUAAUUUUUUUUCAAUAUUUCAAAAUAUAUUAUAUUAAAUCUAAAUUUUUAAAAUACAAAUUCAAAUAUAACAUCAAAAUUUUUAUGUAUAUAUUAUAUAUAAUACAAAAUAAAUUCGGAUUCGGGUCGGGUUCAGGUUCGGGUCGGGUAUAGUCAAAAUCCAUAUCCGAAUCCAUAUCCGUCGGGUUUCUAUUUUUGAUAUCCAUAUCCAUUUAGCAUUGGAUAUAUCCGUUUUAUUCGGGUUCGGGUUCGGAUAAAAUUUCGGAUAUUCAUAUCCAUUGACAUCCCUACUUGGGCUAACUACUUGUACAAGAUUUUCAUAAUUUAAAAUGUUUUCUUUUGUUUAUGUAUGUUUGAUGUACUUUGAAAUUGAAUUCUUGAUUGGAAAAUACUUGGGCUUUUUGAACUUUUUGAUUUUUAAUAUUAAAUUGUAGAGUUUGAAAUUAUUUUGUGAACUUUUUGAGAAAAAAAAAAAAUCCACUUAGUUUUGGAUUUGUGAACUUUGAUCCAUCAUUUUUUUGCCUUUUGGCCCAUUAGAAUGAGCCAGGCUAAUUUUUUGAACCCAAAUUGUUUUGGGCUCUCUCACCCCCCGGCGUUAUUCCCUGCGUUAACUCUCUGUUAAAAUAUAUAAACAAAAAACUUCAGAUACCCUCAUAUUCACUUUAGCAUUCUGUAUUUUACGAAAAUUUUAUUUAAACUUCAGAUACCCUCAUAUUCACUUUAGUGUUCUGUGGUUUACGAAAAUUUUAUUUUAGUACUCUGUAGUUUUAACUUUCUCAUUGAUUUAACGAAAAAAUGAAACCACUGGGUACUUUUGUGCACUAUAUGGUGCUCCGUAAAAAUAGGCUAAACACCCACUAUAUGUACACAGUUACGAAGGGUCUAAAAAUGAGUUGUAGUCCAUAUAUUUUAGGAUAAAUUUUAGGGAUAAUUGUAUAUAUACUCCUCUUACGUUUGAAAAUAUCCGAUUUACCCUUACUUUUUUUAAAAAAAAAAAUACCCCUCAUAUGCUCCACCGUUAUUGCAGAAUACCCCCGCAGUUAUCUCCUGUUAAGUUAACUUGGAUUAAACGUGAGUUAAAUAUCUACCACAGUUAAAAAAAAAUUAAAAUACUAAUUUUGUCCUUAACUUAAGGGCAAAUAAGAAAGGUUGGUGACGGUAGAGGGGUAUAUUGAAAAAGACCAAAAUGCAAAAUACUUUUUGUGCUCCUGACUUUAAAGACAAAUAAAAAAAACAGUGAUGGUGGAAGAAUAUAUUUGAAAGGGCAAAAUAGUAAUUUUACAGAGAUAAUAGAGUUACUUAACAGAUUUUAACUCUAAAAGGUAUAUUAGAAAUAGGUUGAAACAUAGGAGGAGUAUUUUCAAUAUUAGCUUUCUAAGAGGGAUGAAUCGAAAAGUCAGAAACUUUUCAAAGGUAUAUAAGCAAUUGUCCCUAAAUUUUAAAUACCAUCGUGAAAAAAUAUUUUUUUUUUUUCCCCAGUUUUCCAGAUAAAGAAAAACUUUUUUUUUCAUAAUAUAAAAAGGACUUUUUCGCGGAAACUAUCUUUCUAAAAAUCAAACAGUGGAAAAAUCAUUUUUCAGCCAAAAAAAAUUAUUUCCUGAUAUAUUUCUCGAAAAACCAAACACUCCCAUGAGUGGGACAAAAUGCAGGUUCAAAGAAUAAAAGACUAUCAUUAACUUAGUGACAACUUGCAGACUUUAGUCAGGUUAAGCUAAAUUAAAAAUCACUAGAAGACAAAUUCAUGCCACCAAAUUUGAGGAACAAGUGGUUAUCAAUCAAGAUGCUUUUUUAUGUACAGAAAAUUUCUGCGCACCGCUGACUCCACCAAUAAAUAAAUCACUACAAUUGAUGAAGAUGAGCCAUGAAUUCACAAACUCAAAAUCUAUCACUCUACUUUCAAUUUACACAAAACAGAAACCUAGUACAACUAUAUCACUCCUCAAAAGAAUGUACAUUUUUCCCUUUCUUACUCACGCUGCGUGAUUUCACCGUCCAGAAUUAUUGAUCUUCUAAAUUUUUCUGUACAAAACUCUGUGAACGAGACACCUCUCCUCGCCGAGCAACCAUUAUGAUUUCAGCCUAGCUCAAAUCCCUAGCCCAACUUCGUUAUUCGCUACCGUGAAAUGAUCUACUUCAUUUUGCUGCACGGACAGAGUUAUUCCUGUACUUCUGUCCUAACUUAAAUCGCACUCUUUUCGAACACAAAUAAGUCUAUUGUUCGUAUUGAUUUAAAAUUUAAAUUCGGACAAAAAUUGAUACUGUCGCACCGUAGAAAGGGUCUCACAUAAUUUUGUGUUGGCUAAGAACCACACUGCCACGUGGCUGUGUCGUGCCGUGCCGUGUCGAUGCGUGUGCUCAGCUACCACGGGGUGGAGCCCCAGAGCACCUCGGCGAGGACGGUGACCUCCUCGGCCGGUGAGAUCACCGCCUCCUUCACCCUCCUCACAAUCUCCUGCUUCGUCAACCUCUUCUCCCUCUCCCUCAUCCCCUCCCCGACCUCGACCUCCACCGCGAACCUCGCCACCGCGCUCGCGAAUGGCGUCCUCGCCGAGGCGGAGGGAUCGGGGCCGUCCAUCUCGAUCAGCGCGCCGCCGUGGUCGGAGCGCUGGAGGCACACGAGCCGCUUGAUCAGCCCCUCGGCGAUCAUGGCGUCGACGGCCUCCUUGCGGCCGUAGUGUCCGAGAACGAGGGAGAGUUCUAGGGCGAGGGAGCGUACCUCGAGGUCGGGGGCGGCGAGGAGGGCGACGAGGCGGGGGAGGGCGCCGCGGGCGAGGAGCUCGUCGAUGAGGGGGCUCCGGAUAGCGGCGACGAGGCCGGAGAGGGCGCGGAGCGCGGCGGGGGAGGCGGCGGAGACGAGGGCGCCCACGGCGGGGCCCAUGAGCACGGGGCCGACGAACACGUCGCGGUUGAAGCGCACCAGCGCGAGCGCGGCCGCGGCGCAGCGGUCGCGGACGCGGGGCGGGGCGGCGCGCGGGUCGCGCCUCGAGCGCGCGGAGGAGGGGCUCGCGCUCCUCGGACCCGGACCGGAGCGCGGCGACGAGGCGGUCGACGGUCUCGCGGUCGAUCCACGCCCGGAUCUCCGCCGCCACGGACGCCGCCACGCGCGCGACGGCCUCGUCGCGGCCCGAUCUAAGGCGGAGGAGGGAUCGGACGAUUGAACCCCCGCCGCCGGAGUCGGCGGAGUCGGAGAGGGAGCGGAGGCGGGAGAGGAGGAGGGAGAGGGGGGAGAGGAGGGGGUCGGGGGGGAGGAGGGAGCGGAGCUCGAGGAGGGCGUUAAUGGCGGGGGAGGAGGAGGCAGGGGAGGGGGAGGAGGAGAGGGAGUGCGCGGCGCUCUCGAGGGCCUCCAAAGCGCGCAGCACCUCCGUCCUCGGGCGCUCCACCAUGGGAGCCAAAUUGGCCGGGUAUGUCCCAACUACAACUCUCUCUCUCUCUCUCCCUCUCUCUAUAUACACAAUUUUUUUUUUUUUUUUUUUUUUUUAAACUAAUGGUCCUCCGUGAGGAAGGAGAAAGACGAAGAGGAGGAGGGGCCCCCGCCGAGCACGACGGACGGGGCAGGGGUUUAUGUCGUGGGAUAAAAUUUUAGUAGGAAGCUUCUGGCUAUCGGGGCGGAUUCGGCGGCGGGAUGGUUUUUCAUCUUUCGUUUUAUUUUUUAAUUAGGGCUGGAUGGAUUGGGAACAAAAUAUUUUUAACUUCAUUUUUUUCUUUCAUUUACCACCCCAUUUCCGACAGAUUUUUGAGGAAUUUUGCACGAAUCAGGACGGAUUUAAGAAAGAAAAAAGUCUUUCACCUCCCGCUUUAUUUACUUAGCGGAACGGACCGAAUUCGAAACAUAUUAUAUUUUUCUUUAUGUGUUGGUCUCACAUGCCGUCCCAUUCGAAACGGAUUGGAGUGGGAGUUUCACCAAUCCGGAUCUAUUUGCAUCCUUAUUUGAGAAUUCUCUAAUUCACUAUCAUUUUAAAUUUUUAUCUCUAUCUAAAAAAUAUUUAGAUAUUUUUAUAUGUUAAAAUCAAUAAAUAUUUUUUUAAAAAAAAUUAUAACCGUCGGAUAAAAAUAAAAUUGAUACAUGACAGCAAAGCGAGACUACUCAAUGAGACUUCGAGCCUGUUUGGCCUAACUUCUGAAAAAGUGAUUUCUGAAAAAGUGAUUUUGAUUUAGAGAAGUGAUUUUGGUUAAAAGCUAUAGAGUGUUUGGCAGAGUUUAUAUAAAAGUGAUUUUUCUAAAGUGAUUUUAAAAAGUUGUUUGGUAAAUUUUUUUUGAUGUUUACAUAUCUUAAAAUUGAGAGAGUUUAGAACCGGCUCUGAUACAGUAUUAUCGAAAAUGUCGAUUUAAUAGAAAAUUAACCUAGGACUAAUCUUACUAUACAAGACAUUUCACUCUUUGGUCAAGCAUUUAGAAAGGAUCUUCUAUGCAUAAAACCUUAGCAAUAUUAAUUUUCUUCAGAUCUAUAAAAAAAAAGUUAAGUGGUAACAAUAAUAUAUAAUAAUAUUUAAAAUUUUUUUUUGUUUUUAGAUUCAUUUAGAGCCUAUUUGUUUGCAUAGAAGUGGGGUGAAAGUAGGGAGGGAGAAGUGAUUUUCGAUGACAACAGAUCGCUUUCUUUGGUUCGCCGUAAAAAAUAAUAUUUAAACUUUUUUUGUUUUUUUAAGAUUCAUUUAGUGGAAUUCUGAGGGGAGAGAGGGGUUUGUUGGCAGCCACAGCAGGAGAGUCUGAAUGGCAGACAGUGCUGAUGAAAUGGUAGAUGGGCUGUGGGCCCCAGCAAGGCUGACAAGGAUUUAUUAGAGUCUUUAUUAGGUAGACAAAGUUUUCAUACUUUAGUAAUUAAGUCCUAACAAUGCUAAAUAUUUUGUUCUGAAGAAAAUUGAGAAGAUGUUAGUAAAAUUAAUUACAAAAAAGUUAAUGAUUUUUAAGGUUAAAGUCCAUAGGAGAUUCAUUAAAUAAUGAGCCUGAUUCUAUCUUUAUAUAGUUUUGGUGAAUAAAAUAAGCAUAUUCCUACCCAAAGAAAAAAGGAAAAGCAAAAAUAGAGAAUAUACAGAUGACAUGACAGUUCCCUAAUCUAAAAAGAUAUCUAUAGUAUCGGCCUACCGGAGCUCCAAUACUAUAGUCUCAUUUUCGAUCUUAGGAUGUUCAAAUCAACAAUCCACACCGUUAAAAUUGAUUUAAAAUAUUUAGAGUUUUUAGAAAUAAAAUUUUAUAUUUUUCUGACAUAGUUUACUUCAUGAUCAAAUAAUUUCAAAAUUGUCAAUUUUCAAUGAUUACUACUACGAGUCUGGAGUUUAACGGUGUAAAAAAAUCUAAAUUUCUUCAAAUUUUGAUAGAGAAUACUUUAAACUAUCUAGAUUAAAGUUAACAUUCUUGGUCUUGAAUUUAAAAGUCCUAUACUCAAAUUUUAAAGAUUAUUCAAUUUUCACCGUCCAUUUUGAUAUAAUUUAUUUACUAAGUAAACGAUGUUGAAAAAAACUAAAAUUUUAUUACUAAGAAAUUCAUAUACCCUAGAUCAUAUUUAACGGUGUGGAUCGUUAAUUUGAAUACCCUAAGAUCGAAAACAAAAGGGCUUUUUUUGCAUUUAGCCCCCUGACAAAUUUUUAUUUUAAAAAUAGCCCUGUCAAAAUUUAAUUUGCAAAAAUGGCCCUGGGCCUGCCACGCAGGCGCCACGUCAGCGCCACGCGGGCGGGGCCAGGGCGAAUGUAUUAAGUUAAACACGGCGAACCAUUCACCGUGUCUAAACACGGUGAAUGGUUCACCGUGUUUAAACACGGUGAAUACGUAUAUUUUAUAUGUUGAAAAGUGGAAUAGGGAGUAGGGAUGUCAAUAGAUAUGGAUAUCCGAAAUAUUAUCCGAACCCAAACCCGAAUAAAUUUAUAUAUAUAUAUAUAUAUAUAUAUAUAUAUAUAUAUAUAUAUAUAUAUAUAUAUAUAUAUAUAUAUAUAUAUAAAUAAUUUUUAUUUAUUUAAUAUAUAUAAAAUAUUUAACAGCUUUAUAUAAUAUAUAAAAAUAUUUAACAGCUGGAUGAAGAUCUAAGGAACGGUUAAAUAUUUUAUAUACUGUAUAAAUUAAAUAAAAAUAAUUUAUAUAUAUAUAUAUAUAAUUAUAUAUAUAUAUAUAUAUAUAUAUAUUAUAUAUAUAUAUAUAUUAUAUAUAUAUAUAUAUAAUUUAUUCGGGUUUGGGUUCGGAUAAUAUUUCGAAUAUCCAUACCUAUUGACAUCCUUACUCCCUAUUCCUCUUUUCAAUAUAUAAAAUAUACGUAGUAAACACGGUGAACCAUUUACCGUGUCUAAACACGGUGAAUAGUUCACCGUGUUUAACUUGACACAUUGGCUCUGGCCCUGUCUGCGUGGUGCUGACGUGGCGCCUGUGUGGCAGGCGUAGGGCCAUUUUUGCAAAUUAAAUUUUAAGAAAGUUAUUUUUAAAAUAAAAAUUUGCCAGGGGGCUAUAUACAAAAAAAGCCCAAAACAAAACUAUAGUACCGAAACUCUUGUACUAUAGAUAGUAUAGUAGCCUAAUUAUAUAUAUAUAUAGAGAGAGAGAGGGAGAGAGAGAGACUCUAGCUGCUGCUAUGCUAUCGAUAGCACCAAGUAGUUGGUGCUAUCAAGUUUUCUGCCGUUAGAUUAAUCUCUUUGAUUAUUUUUACCUGUUAGAUUAUACUGUUCAACCAACAACUCACUCAACCUUAGGGGGCUCAUAUCAUCCUAACCGCACAUCUUUUAAUCCAAGGGCGAAAAACUUAAUAACACCGAGUCAUUGGUACUAUUAAUAAUAUUCUAGUCAAGUUCUAUAUAUAUAUAUAUAUAUAUAUAUAUAUAUAUAUAUAUAUAUAUAUAUAUAUAUAUAUAUAUANAUUUAACCCUUUGACUAUUUUCACCUGUUAGAUUAUACUAUUCAACCAACAACUCACUCAACCUUAGGGGGCUCACAUCAUCCUAACCAUACAGUUGUUCAUCCAAGGGCGAAAAACUUGAUAGCACAAAAUGCUUGGUGCUAUUGAUAGCAUUCCAGCCUAUAUAUAUAUAUAUAUAUAUAUAUAUAUAUAUAUAUAUAUAUAUAUAUAUAUAUAUAUAUAUAAACCCAAAAUAGAGAACAAAAUAUCGACACGAUUAUAGGUUCCGACUCCCACUUUUUGUACAAAAUCAAAAUGUCUCUACUUUCGAAACUGCCAAAUUCUAGUUCGAAAAAUAUUUAUAAAGUUUGUGGUGCGUGGUAGAAGAAAAAAUAUUCCCGAGCACCAAAAGAAAGGAGUGAGGAGGAGGCAAAAAAUUAAAUAAUUAUGGUAAAAAUUUUAGUGAAUAAUAUAAAAUACAUUAAACAAAAAAACCAUAGAUAAAAAAAUAAAAUAAUUAAGCCUACUGGCUAGAUUUUGGCACAAGAUUUGACCAAUUUUGGACAAAAAGGUCACAAAAUACAUUUGCCAUAGAAGAUAAAGAAGGGUGGAGAGAGAAAGGGAGAAAAAGAAAAGAUUCCAAUUAUAAUAUUCACUACUAGUAGUGGUACUCAUUUUAGAUUAUAUAGAUUGAUGAUGUUCAACAGUAUCGAUAUUCGAUUUGGAGGUUUCAUUAUUGAAAAAAAAUUGAUAGCAACGAAAUUCGUUUGCUACUGAUAGCAUUUCAGCUCAACUCUAUACAUAUAUUAUAUGAAUUCAGCUACUAUUUUUUUAAGAAGAUGGGUGACUUUAUACUCCUAAGUCGUUUUAAAUGAUAAGGAUUUCGAAUCGAUGAUCGAAACUGUUAAGUUGAUCUAGAAUAUUAAAAAUUAAUGUCUAUAAACUAAAUUUCAUGAAAUUUAAAAAGUUUUUACGUAGUGAUCAAAGGAUCACAAAAUCGACAAUUUUUUACGACCUAUACAAGUCGUUUGCUUGUUUAGCAGUAUAGAACAAUCCAAAUAGCUUGAAUUUUUUAUAGAAAAUUUUUUAUAUUAUUUAGAUAACGUUUGAUAAAUCCGAUCAUGAAUUGAAAAAAUCUAACAUUUAUUUUCACAAGGUUAUUUGUUUUUUACCGUUCAUUUUUCGACUCUUCAAUAAAUUUGAUAACGAAUUUUAAAUUUUAUGAAAUUUAAUUUCUAACUCAAAACGUGCUGAAUAUUUGAAUCCAAAAUUAAAUAAACUUAAUUAUACAUGCAGAUGAUUCAAACUAGAUAGAAAUCAGUCGGUUCGAUUCAGUAGUAAAUCUUGUACAUAGUACAUAAAUAUUAAGUUAAUAGAUAAUAGAGAUGAAGAGAAUUUGGGAAUAAUUACAAUGAUAUGAUGUGAUUGAUUUAGGAUUAAAAGAAAAUAAAUGUGUCCUUUUUUAAUGAUGAUUUAUUUAUGAUGAUUUAUAUGAUGGUGAUGUUGAAGACAAUUUAGGGGGAAUUG